rnacentral:rRNA from 1 species
UUGCUGCUUUGCUGACGAGUGGCGGACGGGUGAGUAAUGUCUGGGAAACUGCCUGAUGGAGGGGGAUAACUACUGGAAACGGUAGCUAAUACCGCAUAACGUCGCAAGACCAAAGAGGGGGACCUUCGGGCCUCUUGCCAUCGGAUGUGCCCAGAUGGGAUUAGCUAGUAGGUGGGGUAACGGCUCACCUAGGCGACGAUCCCUAGCUGGUCUGAGAGGAUGACCAGCCACACUGGAACUGAGACACGGUCCAGACUCCUACGGGAGGCAGCAGUGGGGAAUAUUGCACAAUGGGCGCAAGCCUGAUGCAGCCAUGCCGCGUGUAUGAAGAAGGCCUUCGGGUUGUAAAGUACUUUCAGCGGGGAGGAAGGGAGUAAAGUUAAUACCUUUGCUCAUUGACGUUACCCGCAGAAGAAGCACCGGCUAACUCCGUGCCAGCAGCCGCGGUAAUACGGAGGGUGCAAGCGUUAAUCGGAAUUACUGGGCGUAAAGCGCACGCAGGCGGUUUGUUAAGUCAGAUGUGAAAUCCCCGGGCUCAACCUGGGAACUGCAUCUGAUACUGGCAAGCUUGAGUCUCGUAGAGGGGGGUAGAAUUCCAUG